rnacentral:rRNA from 1 species
AUGGGUAGCUUGGGCACCAACCAUGCGUCCUGCACCGCCAUCCCCGAGGCCGAGGGAAAAGCCGAAUUCCAGCCGCUCAACCCUGAAGACGUCCGCGCAUACCUCCACAAGGCCGUUGACUUCAUCUCCGACUACUACACCAACAUCGAGUCCAUGCCAGUUCUCCUUGACGUGAAGCCAGGAUACCUACAGGAUGAGCUCAGCUCGUCUCCGCCGAUCGACUCAGCACCGUUCGUUGACACCAUGAAGGAGCUCAGGGCCUCCGUCGUCCCUGGCAUGACGCACUGGGCUAGCCCGAACAUUUUCGCCUUCUUCCCCUCCACCAACAGCGCCGCUGCCAUUGCCGGCGAUCUCAUCGCCUCUGCCAUGAACACUGUCGGGUUCACAUGGCAGGCCUCUCCAGUGGCCACCGAGAUGGAGGUCCUCGCGCUCGAUUGGCUUGCACAACUCGUACGCCUGCCCACCACCUUCAUGAACUGCACCAGCACUGGCCGUGGCACCGGCGGUGGCGUCAUCCUUGGCACCACGAGCGAGGCAAUGCUUGUCACGCUUGUCGCCGCCCGUGACGCCGCACUGCAUAGGUGUGGUUCGGUUGGCGUGUCCGACUUGCCGCGACUGGUUGUGUAUGCUACUGACCAGACUCACUCCACUUUCUUCAAGGUAUGUCGUCUCGCAGGCUUCGACCCCGCUAACUUCCGCUCCAUCCCCACCGGGCCGGAGACCUAUGGACUCGACCCAGUCAAGCUUCUCAAGACCAUGCAAGCUGGCAGAUACACCGGCUUUGUGCCAACAUAUGUAUGUGCCACGGUGGGCACCACAUCUUCAAACGCAGUCGACCCGGUGGGCGCCAUCGCUUAUAUUGCUACCAUGUUCAAUGUGUGGGUCCAUGUCGACGCUGCCUAUGCUGGCAGUGCGUGCAUCUGCCCGGAGUUCCGCCACCAUCUUGAUGGCGUCGAGCGUGUGGACUCCAUUAGCAUGAGCCCACACAAAUGGCUCCUCACGUGCCUAGACUGCACCUGUCUGUACGUUCGCGAUACUCACCGCCUGAGUGGCUCACUGGAGACAAACCCAGAGUACCUCAAGAACGAUGCUACUGACUCGGGCGAGGUUACCAAUCUCAAGGACAUGCAAGUCGACGUCGGUCGCCGCUUUCGUGGGCUCAAGCUCUGGAUGGUCAUGCGCACCUAUGGCACGUCAAAGCUGCAAGAGCACAUUCGCAAAGACGUCGCCAUGGCCAAGAUGUUUGAAGAUAUCGUGUGUUCCGACGAUAGGUUUGAGGUGGUCGUACCGAGGAACUUCGCACUUGUGUGCUUCAGAAUCAAGGCGAGUGGUGCCAUGACGGAAGAGGAUGCCGAUGGGGCCAACCGUGUGCUCAUGGAGAAUGUGAACAAGACCGGCAAGGCUUAUCUUGCACACACGGUGGUUGGCGACAGGUUCGUCCUCCGGUUUGCCGUGGGGUCAUCCUUGCAGGAGGAGAGGCAUGUGAGAAACGCAUGGGACCUCAUCAAGAUGACGGCCAGCAGUAUCUUGGAUUAG